rnacentral:rRNA from 1 species
UUUAUGGAGAGUUUGAUCCUGGCUCAGGAUGAACGCUGGCGGCGUGCUUAACACAUGCAAGUCGAACGGUGAAGGUGGAGCUUGCUCCACCGGAUCAGUGGCGAACGGGUGAGUAACACGUGAGCAAUCUGCCCCUGACUCUGGGAUAAGCGCUGGAAACGGCGUCUAAUACCGGAUACGAACUGCGAAGGCAUCUUCAGCAGUUGGAAAGAAUUUCGGUCAGGGAUGAGCUCGCGGCCUAUCAGCUUGUUGGUGAGGUAAUGGCUCACCAAGGCGUCGACGGGUAGCCGGCCUGAGAGGGUGACCGGCCACACUGGGACUGAGACACGGCCCAGACUCCUACGGGAGGCAGCAGUGGGGAAUAUUGCACAAUGGGCGCAAGCCUGAUGCAGCAACGCCGCGUGAGGGACGACGGCCUUCGGGUUGUAAACCUCUUUUAGCAGGGAAGAAGCGAAAGUGACGGUACCUGCAGAAAAAGCGCCGGCUAACUACGUGCCAGCAGCCGCGGUAAUACGUAGGGCGCAAGCGUUAUCCGGAAUUAUUGGGCGUAAAGAGCUCGUAGGCGGUUUGUCGCGUCUGCUGUGAAAUCCCGAGGCUCAACCUCGGGUCUGCAGUGGGUACGGGCAGACUAGAGUGCGGUAGGGGAGAUUGGAAUUCCUGGUGUAGCGGUGGAAUGCGCAGAUAUCAGGAGGAACACCGAUGGCGAAGGCAGAUCUCUGGGCCGUAACUGACGCUGAGGAGCGAAAGGGUGGGGAGCAAACAGGCUUAGAUACCCUGGUAGUCCACCCCGUAAACGUUGGGAACUAGUUGUGGGGUCCAUUCCACGGAUUCCGUGACGCAGCUAACGCAUUAAGUUCCCCGCCUGGGGAGUACGGCCGCAAGGCUAAAACUCAAAGGAAUUGACGGGGACCCGCACAAGCGGCGGAGCAUGCGGAUUAAUUCGAUGCAACGCGAAGAACCUUACCAAGGCUUGACAUAUACGAGAACGGGCCAGAAAUGGUCAACUCUUUGGACACUCGUAAACAGGUGGUGCAUGGUUGUCGUCAGCUCGUGUCGUGAGAUGUUGGGUUAAGUCCCGCAACGAGCGCAACCCUCGUUCUAUGUUGCCAGCACGUAAUGGUGGGAACUCAUGGGAUACUGCCGGGGUCAACUCGGAGGAAGGUGGGGAUGACGUCAAAUCAUCAUGCCCCUUAUGUCUUGGGCUUCACGCAUGCUACAAUGGCCGGUACAAAGGGCUGCAAUACCGUAAGGUGGAGCGAAUCCCAAAAAGCCGGUCCCAGUUCGGAUUGAGGUCUGCAACUCGACCUCAUGAAGUCGGAGUCGCUAGUAAUCGCAGAUCAGCAACGCUGCGGUGAAUACGUUCCCGGGUCUUGUACACACCGCCCGUCAAGUCAUGAAAGUCGGUAACACCUGAAGCCGGUGGCCCAACCCUUGUGGAGGGAGCCGUCGAAGGUGGGAUCGGUAAUUAGGACUAAGUCGUAACAAGGUAGCCGUACCGGAAGGUGCGGCUGGAUCACCUCCUUU